CCCCUAAAAGCCCCCCACCCCCACCCCACCCCCGGUGGGUCCCGUGCGCCACAUUCACCUGCAUUGUGGUGGGGAGGUUGUGCCUGGGCAGGUGCAGGACGAGCAGCCCCGCCUGACCCCAGGCUCAGCCCAGUGGGUGCCCAGCAGACUUGCCUCGCCCUGGGCCUGCCCCUUCGGAGCUGGCUUUGCUUGCUCAGUUUUCACUAAACACAACAUGCAUUUAACGAUGGACUUGGGAAGAGGCGCCCGGAAGGAGGGCCCCCGGCGCAGGGGCAGCCGCUGCCGCUCAAUUGAGAACUACCAUGACACAGACAAACAAUGACACAAUUGGCCCACCAUGCACCGGCUUCAGAUGCCCACCCACGGACGUGUGUGAAUCAUUCAAACAUGGAGAAACCCCUGGGAAUAUAUGCCAUACGACGGGUCACUCUUGCUCCUGCCAUUGAGAACCAGAAAGGUCCAGA
rnacentral:lncRNA from 1 species